AUGGGGUACGUGCUGAGAGUGAGAUUAGCGUCGUUCUUUACCGGCGCUGCAACGGCGUCGUUUGCAGGUCUCUACAUUCUCCAUAGGGAUUACAAACUUGCGCAUCAAUCCCUUACUCAACAGACGAAUGGUCUCUACGAAUCACUUAACAAUCGAAUUUCUUCCUUGGAAAAACUCAAACAAACUGAAACUUCACCACAGGCGGAAGCUACAGAAUAA